rnacentral:rRNA from 1 species
UAGGGAAUCUUCCGCAAUGGACGCAAGUCUGACGGAGCAACGCCGCGUGAGUGAAGAAGGAUUUCGGUUCGUAAAACUCUGUUGUUAGAGAAGAACAGCGCAUAGAGUAACUGUUAUGCGUGUGACGGUAUCUAACCAGAAAGCCACGGCUAACUACGUGCCAGCAGCCGCGGUAAUACGUAGGUGGCAAGCGUUGUCCGGAUUUAUUGGGCGUAAAGCGAGCGCAGGCGGUCAAUUAAGUCUGAUGUGAAAGCCCCCGGCUCAACCGGGGAGGGUCAUUGGAAACUGGUUGAAUUGAGUGCAGAAGAGGAGAGUGGAAUUCCAUGUGUAGGGGUGAAAUGCGUAGAUAUAUGGAGGAACACCAGUGGCGAAGGCGACUCUCUGGUCUGUAACUGACGCUGAGGCUAGAAAGCGUGGGUAGCAAACAGG